GAGUUUGAUCGUGGCUCAGAUUGAACGCUGGCGGCAGGCCUAACACAUGCAAGUCGAACGGUAACAGGAAACAGCUUGCUGUUUCGCUGACGAGUGGCGGACGGGUGAGUAAUGUCUGGGAAACUGCCUGAUGGAGGGGAUAACGUACUGGAAACGGUAGCUAAUGCCGCAUAACGUCGCAAGACCCAAAAGAGGGGGACCUUCGGGUCCUCUUAGCCAUCGGAUGUGCCCAGAUGGGAUUAGCUAGUAGGU
rnacentral:rRNA from 1 species